rnacentral:misc_RNA from 1 species
GGGAACACAAGCACUUGAAAUCAUAGCAUUAUCAUUAUGGCUUUGGCUACUAAACACUUUCUGCAGCUGUUAGGGAUGCUCGUCUUCCUCGUGAGCUUGUUAACUCUCACUGAGCCAACACUGGCAGACGAUUAUGAUGAUAUCCCUAGAGAUUUUCACCGCACUUAUUUUCCUAAUGACUUCAUUUUUGGUACUUCUACUUCUGCUUACCAGGUAUAUGUAAACCUUCGUCCAUCGUGACAUGGAAAUAUAGCAGUAUAUAUGUGUUAAGAAGAGUGCAAGCACUUCUUGUUUUUUUAUUUUUCCAAAAAAUAUAUUUUGAAGAUUAAUAAGAAAUUAAUAAUGUAUAUUUUGUAUUCAGAUUGAAGGCCACACAAACACAAAGGGUAGAGGACCUAGUGUCUGGGACACAUUCACUCAUGAGACUCCGGAGAGGAUAAAGGAUGGCAGCAACGGAGACGUUGCAGUUGAUUUCUAU